rnacentral:rRNA from 1 species
AUUGAACGCUGGCGGCAUGCUUUACACAUGCAAGUCGAACGGUAACGGGGACUUCGGUCUGCCGACGAGUGGCGAACGGGUGAGUAAUAUAUCGGAACGUGCCCAGUAAUGGGGGAUAGCUCGGCGAAAGCCGGAUUAAUACCGCAUACGCCCUGAGGGGGAAAGUGGGGGAUCUUCGGACCUCACGUUAUUGGAGCGGCCGAUAUCAGAUUAGCUAGUUGGUGGGGUAAAGGCCUACCAAGGCGACGAUCUGUAGCUGGUCUGAGAGGAUGAUCAGCCACACUGGGACUGAGACACGGCCCAGACUCCUACGGGAGGCAGCAGU